rnacentral:snoRNA from 1 species
AUCCUUUGUGGUUCAAUAAGCACGAGCAGGUUUUCCCGCCUUAUGCGAGUUUGCGUCCCUCAAAUCUUGUUACAACAUUCGUACUGGACCUAUCUGCUG